rnacentral:rRNA from 1 species
AGCGAACGCUGGCGGCAGGCCUAACACAUGCAAGUCGAACGAAGUCUUCGGACUUAGUGGCGGACGGGUGAGUAACACGUGGGAACGUGCCUUUAGGUUCGGAAUAACUCAGGGAAACUUGUGCUAAUACCGAAUGUGCCCUUCGGGGGCAAGAUUUAUCGCCUUUAGAGCGGCCCGCGUCUGAUUAGCUAGUUGGUGAGGUAAAGGCUCACCAAGGCUACGAUCAGUAGCUGGUCUGAGAGGAUGACCAGCCACAUUGGGACUGAGACACGGCCCAAACUCCUACGGGAGGCAGCAGUGGGGAAUCUUGCGAAAUGGGCGAAAGCCUGACGCAGCCAUGCCGCGUGGAUGAUGAAGGUCUUAGGAUUGUAAAAUCCUUUCACCGGUGAAGAUAAUGACUGUAGCCGGAGAAGAAGCCCCGGCUAACUUCGUGCCAGCCGCCGCCGUAAAAC